AUAGCCAAAGACGAGUUUCAUGCAAUCUUGGAGGAAGAAGAAUUAAGAGGGGCUGUUGUCCUUAUUUUUGCAAACAAGCAGGAUCUUCCAGGUGCACUUGAUGAUGCUGCUGUUACUGAGGCUUUAGAGUUGCACAAGAUAAAAAGCCGUCAAUGGGCAAUUUUCAAAACUUCUGCUAU